rnacentral:rRNA from 1 species
GAUGAACGCUGGCGGCGUGCCUAAUACAUGCAAGUCGAGCGAACGGACGAGAAGCUUGCUUCUCUGAUGUUAGCGGCGGACGGGUGAGUAACACGUGGAUAACCUACCUAUAAGACUGGGAUAACUUCGGGAAACCGGAGCUAAUACCGGAUAAUAUUUUGAACCGCAUGGUUCAAAAGUGAAAGACGGUCUUGCUGUCACUUAUAGAUGGAUCCGCGCUGCAUUAGCUAGUUGGUAAGGUAACGGCUUACCAAGGCAACGAUGCAUAGCCGACCUGAGAGGGUGAACGGCCACACUGGAACUGAGCCACGGCCCAGACACCGACGGGAGGCAGCAGUAGGGAAGUUUCCGAAAUGGGCGAAAGCCUGACGGAGCAACGCAGCGUGAGUGAUGAAGGGCUUCGGAUCGUAAAACUCUGUUAUUAGGGAAGAACAUAUGUGUAAGUAACUGUGCACAUCUUGACGGUACCGAAACAGAAAGCCACGGCUAACUACGU